CCGGCGACCGGCGCACGGGUGAGUAACACGUAUGCAACCUGUCCUCUUCAGGGGGACAACCUUCCGAAAGGGAGGCUAAUCCCGCGUAUAUCGGUUUCGGGCAUCCGAGAUCGAGGAAAGAUUCAUCGGAAGAGGAUGGGCAUGCGGCGCAUUAGCUAGACGGCGGGGUAACGCCCACCGUGGCGACGAUGCGUAGGGGUUCUGAGAGGAAGGUCCCCCACACUGGUACUGAGACACGGACCAGACUCCUACGGGAGGCAGCAG
rnacentral:rRNA from 1 species